CCUUACCUGGUCUUGACAUCCACAGAAUUUCGCAGAGAUGCGGAAGUGCCUUCGGGAACUGUGAGACAGGUGCUGCAUGGCUGUCGUCAGCUCGUGUUGUGAAAUGUUGGGUUAAGUCCCGCAACGAGCGCACCCUUAUCCUUUGUUGCCAGCGGUUAGGCCCGGGAACUCAAAGGAGACUGCCAGUGAUAAACUGGAGGAAGGUGGGGAUGACGUCAAGUCAUCAUGGCCCUUACGACCAGGGCUACACACGUGCUACAAUGGCGCAUACAAAGAGAAGCGACCUCGCGAGAGCAAGCGGACCUCAUAAAGUGCGUCGUAGUCCGGAUUGGAGUCUGCAACUCGACUCCAUGAAGUCGGAAUCGCUAGUAAUCGUGGAUCAGAA
rnacentral:rRNA from 1 species